AUUUAACGCUGGCGGCAUGCUUUACACAUGCAAGUCGAACGGUAACAGGUUAAGCUGACGAGUGGCGAACGGGUGAGUAAUGCAUCGGAAGGUGCCCGAUCGGGGGGGAUAACACAGCGAAAGCAGUGCUAAUACCGCAUACGAUCGGAGGAUGAAAGCGGGGGACCGUAAGGCCUCGCGCGAUCGGAGCGGCCGGUGUCAGAUUAGCUAGUUGGUGGGGUAAAAGCCUACGAAGGCGACGAUGGGUAGCGGGUCUGAGAGGAUGAUCCGCCACACUGGAACUGAGACACGGCCCAGACUCCUACGCGAGGCAGCAGUGAGGAAUUUUGGACAAUGGGGGAAACCCUGAACCAGCCAUGCCGCGUGAGUGAAGAAGGCCUUCGGGUUGUAAAGCUCUUUCGGCCGGGAAGAAAUCGUGCGGGCUAAUAUCCCGCAUGGAUGACGGUACCGGACUAAGAAGCACCGGCUAACUACGUGCCAGCAGCCGCCGUAA
rnacentral:rRNA from 1 species